ensembl:lncRNA
GUUAGUUAAUUUAAAUAAUUAACUUACCAUAAUUGUUCAUAUUUGAUGAUUAAUAUUAAUAUAAUAAUUUAAAUAAAACGCGCGUUCGUAACUUUCUUGGAUGACUCCCUGGCCUCGCGCAAGGCUCCCUGUCGUCUCUGAGCGCCUUCGUCUAGUCUUUCUAGGCUCCUUGGACGCAGCGGCGUCCCGAGCGCUUCCCGAGCGGCGGCGCUGUGGCCGGCGGGGCUGCUCGUCGCUGCGCCCCGCACAGGCCGUUCCUCUGCUCUCGGCCGUGCGGUGCCCGGGGCGGAAGCCCUGCAGCUGGAGACUGGCUUCCGCCUGCCAGUGGGCAGGAGGGGCGGCAGGUGGCGGUGGUGCUGGUGGGGAAGGGUGACCGACGUGACCUCUCCUGGAAGGUUUUCAGGAUGCACGUGUUGACUUUUGACUUCCAAGUCCCAAAGCUCGCUUCAGUAGUUCCAGGCGGUUAUGACGGUGGCUCGCUGGCCUGAAUGAUCUUAAUCACGAAAGCACUUGUGUACAGCUUUAUAAUUCGACGUCUGUAUGCACUACACAGCGCUCCCCGCCACCGCCUGCUUCCCACCCUCACCGCGCCGCCCACGCGCGGUGGUCAGCUGGCCGGCCGGCGCGGCGCUGGCUGGUGGCCUCCCCGAGACACGCAGGCACCGAGACUUCCGUGGGGACCGAGGCGUCCGGGUCCUGCCCCUCACUCCUCCCUCUGCUCGUGGCCCUGACGGACCAGGACCAAAUGUGUGCCGCUUGGUGGCCGCGGAGCUCCAUGAUGGCUGAGCUGCACCAGCCGAUGCUAUCUGUGAGCCUGUCCUGCGACCGCAAUGGCUCCUCCACGGCAGCAAGCUCGCUCUGAAGUCUCGAAGCUGUGUGGCGGCGGCCAUGGGGCCGUGGGGGAGGUGCCGGGGACAGGAGCCAGCAAUGUGUGAACGCAGGCCUCGGCAGCGAAGGACGUCCUGACUCUUGAGAGAAAAGGGAGAAGUUGCAAUGUCUGAAAAAAUGUUUGACACCUUCUUUAAUGCAUAGUGUGGAUUCAGCACCUUUGAGCUCACAGCCUGAACGACAGUCGUCUAGCACGUCUCCUUUUUCCUUGAGGUACAUCCCAGCCCUCUGGCCCUUAGGAAGACCGUACACACUUCAACACUCUGCUUGGGGCCAUUUUAAACAGUGACAUCACCAACAAAAAGCACAAAAAUGCAAAAACAAGGGCACUAGGUAGACUGUGAAACGGACACGUUUACAGCAUGAGAGCUGAACCAAGGAGGUGGAGCAUCAUCUUUCUCAACCUCACCUGAGACCACGUGCACCAGGAGACUCUGCGUUGUUACAGUUCUGCACACGUCCACGAAUGAGCCUGAAAACUCUGAGGACACUGAUUUUGGGGUUACAAAUGAAUUUUAUCGAGUAAGAGAAUUUGCAAAUAUGCAAUCCGUCAAUUAUGAGGAUCGACUAUAUAUUGAUGAAACCAACGUGCAUUUUUAAGCUCUCCUGAUUCUGGGUAAUGAUUAUUAUUUGGUAAUUUAAUUUUUGGUCUUAUGUAAUGUCAAAGCAAAGAUAAUUACCAUUUAAAAAAUUAACUGCAUUUAUACAGUGUUUUGUUAAUAAAGACAGAUGG